rnacentral:rRNA from 1 species
UACGUAGAAGACUAGUGUUAUUCAUCUUUAGUAGGUUUAAAGGGUACCUAGACGGUAUAAUUAGUCUUAAACAGGAUACGGUUAUACUAGAGUUAUAUAUGAGGAGGUGAGUAUCUAUGGAGUAGAGUUGAAAUUUUUUUGAUACCAUAACGACUGAUAACGGCGAAAAGCAACCUUUUAUCUAAUAACUGACGUUUGAGGGACGAAGGCUCGGGUAACGAACAGG